rnacentral:rRNA from 1 species
GGUUAAGCGACUAAGCGUACACGGUGGAUGCCCUGGCAGUCAGAGGCGAUGAAGGACGUGCUAAUCUGCGAAAAGCGCCGGCGAGGUGAUAUGAACCYUUGACCCGGCGAUGUCCGAAUGGGGAAACCCAGUGCAAUYCGUUGCACUAUCGUUAACUGAAUACAUAGGUUAACGAGGCGAACCGGGGGAACUGAAACAUCUAAGUACCCCGAGGAAAAGAAAUCAACCGAGAUUCCCCCAGUAGCGGCGAGCGAACGGGGAGCAGCCCGGAGUCUGAAUCAGCUUGUGUGUUAGUGGAACGGUCUGGAAAGUCCGACGGUACAGGGUGAUAGUCCCGUACACGAAAGCACACWUGCUGUGAACUCGAAGAGUAGGGCGGGACACGUGGUAUCCUGUCUGAAUAUGGGGGGACCAUCCUCCAAGGCUAAAUACUCCUGACUGACCGAUAGUGAACCAGUACCGUGAGGGAAAGGCGAAAAGAACCCCGGCGAGGGGAGUGAAAAAGAACCUGAAACCGUGUACGUACAAGCAGUGGGAGCCUCUUUAUGGGGUGACUGCGUACCUUUUGUAUAAUGGGUCAGCGACUUAUAUUCUGUAGCAAGGUUAACCGUAUAGGGGAGCCGAAGGGAAACCGAGUCUUAACUGGG